rnacentral:rRNA from 1 species
CACGUAGGGGGCGAGCGUUGUCCGGAUUUAUUGGGCGUAAAGAGCUCGUAGGCGGUUUGGUAAGUCGGGUGUGAAAUCUCCAGGCUCAACCUGGAGGGGUCAUUCGAUACUGCCAUGACUAGAGUUCGGUAGGGGUGUGUGGAAUUCCUGGUGGAGCGGUGAAAUGCGCAGAUAUCAGGAGGAACACCAAUGGCGAAGGCAGCUCGCUGGGACGGUACUGACGCUGAGACGCGAAAGCGUGGGGAGCAAACAGG